AUGUACCACUCGUACACAGUGGUUUGGAGCGCGCCGCCUGCCCGCACCUGACGACCGCUCGCACCAUUUUGUCAGCC
rnacentral:sRNA from 1 species